GACGUAGGGCGCGAGCGUUGUCCGGAUUUAUUGGGCGUAAAGAGCUCGUAGGCGGCUUGUCGCGUCGACCGUGAAAACUUGGGGCUCAACCCAAGCCUGCGGUCGAUACGGGCAGGCUCGAGUUCGGUAGGGGAGACGUGGAAUUCCUGGUGUAGCGGUGAAAUGCGCAGAUAUCAGGAGGAACACCGGUGGCGAAGGCGGGUCUCUGGGCCGAUACUGACGCUGAGGAGCGAAAGCGUGGGGAGCGAACAGG
rnacentral:rRNA from 1 species